AGACCGAUAGCGAACAAGUAGAGUGAUCGAAAGAUGAAAAGCACUUUGAAAAGAGGGUUAAAUAGCACGUGAAAUUGUUGAAAGGGAAGCGUUUAUCACCAGACUUUUUCUAGGGGGAUCAUCCGGUGUUCUCACCGGUGCACUUCCCCUGGUUGAGGCCAGCAUCGGUUUUCGGAGGGGGAUAAAAGCUUCGGGAAUGUGACUCCCUCGGGAGUGUUAUAGCCCGUUGCAUAAUACCCUUCUGGGGACCGAGGUUCGCGCAUCUGCAAGGAUGCUGGCAUAAUGGUGAUCAACGACCCGUCUUGAAACACGGACCAAG
rnacentral:rRNA from 1 species